AUGUAGGACAUUUCCUUUUGAUGAUCUAUGCCUAAAGCUGCUGACUGUAUUCCUGCUUAUUUGAUUAGAUGCUGAAGUUGCAGAUUCUAAGUCGAGAAGAUUGGUAAAGUCAACAAGCAUUAAGAACUGUGAAUCAGGCUGUUGGACCUGUAAUUCGUCACCGCUAUGAUUAUAGCACAAUUAUUUUCUGUGAUUAAAGGUCUUCAAAUUCAAAUUCUCAGUUCCAAAUAUCACUCUGGAUACAGACUCAUAUCAAGUGUCAUUCCAAAUUUGGGGAUGUGGUUUUACAUUGAGCUGCUUUUUUCGAGAUGGAGGAGUGCAGGUUCCCACAAAACUUAAGUCAAUACAAAGUGAAGACAUUGGUAAAAUAUCUUUGUGCUAAAUGAUAUUACUAGUUUAUUGUUACUAUGCUUUCUGUCUGUAGCUCUGUUCUGUUUGUUUAAUAAUAUUGGCAGUUUCUGUUUGCCAUUGGUGAGCUGCCCUACUGAUAUGGAACCCUGGGUGCUCGUUCCUGAAACCAGAAUAAUAUAUUUCAACCAAAAACAAAAUAUGCUUGUAGAGGCUUGAACCUAUGCAGUGGAAAGAUAUCUCAUUCUUUUUCAUUGUUGAAUUAAGUCUUCCAUUCUUGUCUUUUAAACAAAAACAAUUUAUGCCUUGACUUGGUGAUGUCUUUGGUGCAGAAAGUGCCAGGGAGGUGAAAACUUCACAAUCUGUGGACUAAUUUU